UGGGGAAUAUUGCACAAUGGGCGCAAGCCUGAUGCAGCCAUGCCGCGUGUAUGAAGAAGGCCUUCGGGUUGUAAAGUACUUUCAGUCGGGAGGAAGGUGUCAAGGUUAAUAACCUUGGCAAUUGACGUUACCGACAGAAGAAGCACCGGCUAACUCCGUGCCAGCAGCCGCGGUAAUACGGAGGGUGCAAGCGUUAAUCGGAAUUACUGGGCGUAAAGCGCACGCAGGCGGUUGAUUGAGUCAGAUGUGAAAUCCCCGGGCUUAACCCGGGAAUUGCAUCUGAUACUGGUCAGCUAGAGUCUUGUAGAGGGGGGUAGAAUUCCAUGUGUAGCGAUGAAAUGCGUAGAGAUGUGGAGGGAUGCCGGUGGCGAAGGCGGCCCCCUGGACAAAGACUGACGCACAGGUGCGAAAGCGUGGGGAGCGAACAGG
rnacentral:rRNA from 1 species